AACGACGCUGGCGGCAGGCCUAACACAUGCAAGUCGAACGCUCUCUUCGGAGGGAGUGGCAGACGGGUGAGUAACGCGUGGGAAUCUACCCAGCACUACGGAAUAACGCAUGGAAACGUGUGCUAAUACCGUAUACGCCCCAUGGGGGAAAGAUUUAUCGGAGUUGGAUGAGCCCGCGUCUGAUUAGCUAGUUGGUGAGGUAAUGGCUCACCAAGGCGACGAUCAGUAGCUGGUCUGAGAGGAUGACCAGCCACACUGGGACUGAGACACGGCCCAGACUCCUACGGGAGGCAGCAGUGGGGAAUAUUGGACAAUGGGCGCAAGCCUGAUCCAGCCAUGCCGCGUGAGUGAUGACGGCCUUAGGGUUGUAAAGCUCUUUCACCGGUGAAGAUAAUGACGGUAACCGGAGAAGAAGCCCCGGCUAACUUCGUG
rnacentral:rRNA from 1 species